UUUAGUUAGAGUUUGAUCCUAGCUCAGGAUGAACGCUGGCGGCGUGGAUAAGGCAUGCAAGUCGAACGGACUUCAUUUUUCCUAAGAUGCGAUUAUAUCAAGUCAAAGGUCGUUUGAAGUUAGUGGCGAACGAGGUAGUAAUACAUAGGAACUUCCCCCAAAGUCGUGAAUAAUUCGUUGAAAGACGGACUAAUACACGAUGGUCUCAAAGACGUAAGUCUAAGAGUAAAGACAAGAUUAAUUUUUUGUGCGCUUUGGGAAAGGCCUAUGCGAUAUCAGCUAGUUGGUAGUGUAAUGGACUACCAAGGCUAUGACGUUUAGGGGAGGUGAGAGCCUGACCCCCACCGAUGGUACUGAGACACGGACCAUACACCUACGGG
rnacentral:rRNA from 1 species